rnacentral:rRNA from 1 species
CCUACGGGAGGCAGCAGUGGGGAAUUUUGCGCAAUGGGGGCAACCCUGACGCAGCAACGCCGCGUGAGUGAUGAAGGCCUUCGGGUCGUAAAGCUCUGUCAGAGGGGAAGAAAUGCAGGUGGUGAACAACCAUUCUGUUUGACGGUACCCUCAAAGGAAGCACCGGCUAACUCCGUGCCAGCAGCCGCGGUAAUACGGAGGGUGCGAGCGUUGUUCGGAAUUAUUGGGCGUAAAGCGCGUGUAGGCGGUUUGUUAAGCUGGAGGUAAAAGCCCCGGGCUCAACCUGGGAAGUGCAUUGGAUACUGGCAGACUUGAGUACGGGAGAGGAGAGUGGAAUUCCCAGUGUAGGAGUAAAAUCCGUAGAUAUUGGGAGGAACACCGGUGGCGAAGGCGGCUCUCGGGACCGAUACUGACGCUGAAACGCGAAGGCGUGGGAAGCAAACAGGAUUAGAUCCCCUUGUAGU